ACCGGGCACUGUAGUGCAUGCCUGUAAUCCCAGUAGCUCAGGAGGCUGAGGCAGGAGGAUCACGAGUUCAAAACCAGCCUCAGCAACAGUGAGGCACUAAGCAACUCAGUGAGACCCUGUCUCUA
rnacentral:sRNA from 1 species